UCAAGGUGUGAUGUCACCGGCUCUCUUCGAAAGGAAGAGCCAGCUGCGGCGCCCGAGUAGCCGUUUAGGAGAGUGAGAAGCAUCCAGGUUCGAAUUAGAUCAUGAGAUAAAGAGCUGGAAGCCUAAGAAGCAGACUGAAGAUUCAAGCACAGGCCAUCUGGAAAGAUCUCUCUCUAUAGAGUCCUAAGUUCUGGAUUCAAAUUCUCCCUCUGAUGCUUACUUCACAUAUGACCUCGAGGUAGAGAAACUGAAUCUUAGAGAAUUUAUCUGAUUCAUCUGCUCCUACCCUAACACAAGAAGCUAUGGAAAUUGAAUCUUGACAGUCACUUCAACUUGAUAUAAGAGACUGGGAGGAGCUUAUCCUGUGACCAUGGAUAUAUCUGGGACCAUCCGUUCCCAUCACCACCUGGAAGAAGUCUUCACAGUGAUGAGUAUCUGCUCCCAGCAAUGACCCAAAUAUAAGAGAAUUUGAGCUAAGAAGCAUCAUGACAUCCAUGCACAAAGGUAUCAAAAAAGCAGCACUCUCCAGUGUGG